AGUGUGCGUGCAUGUGCGUCUGCGUACGUGCGCCUGCGUGCGUUUGCGCCUGCGUGCGUGCGUGUGUUCCCCUUCCUACAAGGACCCCAGUCAUGCUGGAUCAGGGUUCACUCCAAUGACCUCGCCCUAAGUGGUUACACCUGCAACAGCCCUGUUUCCAAGUAAAGCCACUUUCUGGGGGGCUGGGGCGGACCAUUGUUUAGGACAGAGAUGGCCCUUCCAGAUUACCGGUUUUAGGGGAGGCGGUCAAACGGAGGAGGACGCGGAGCCAGCCGUGGGCGUCGCUGCUACCCAGGCGCCUCAGGAGCCAGCAGACCAGACACGCCACAGACGAGGCCCAGCUGAGCCCCCACCACCAGCAUCCCCCCCAGAAGCCAUGGGCACCACCGGCUUCCGAGGAGUAGCAGGAAAGAAGCUAAGUUCCCAAAUGCCAUGGCUCUAAUUUCCCCCGCCCAGCGAUCGCCCCCUGGUUGCAUUUCCUGUGGGUCCCGGUCAUCACCCACUGUGCCCAGGGUGGUAUCAGAAGGCCGCCCCAGGGCCCGGUGACUGGCAGCUGGGCCCAAGCAUGGCCCCGAAAACCCAGCAGGCACCUGGGCAGGGCCAGGAGGGGUCCCCUGGGGUGUCCCAGCUGAGACCACAGAGAGACAUCCAAAGAGGUCCCUGGCAGUACAGCCAGACGUCCUGUUAGCAGGAACUUAAUAAACGCUAGCAUGAAAUAUUUAUGCACUUA